AACCCAUAUACUGAAAAUGCGAGCGGCAAACAAAAACAAUGCCCGGGAUCUAAUUUAUGAGUUCAAAGCGUGACCCAACUCCCGAUACUCCACCAUUUCAAAGCGUGAACAAAAUUCUUCUCUCUCUCUCUCUCGACAAAAGAUCCCAGCGACUUUCUUCAUCCAACCAAAAACCUAGAUACCUGUGACUUUCUUCAUUCUAGCGACUUCCAUGGGUAAGCUCUUCGCCAUCCAAUCAAAACCCUAUAUCUGUUUCCGGCUUCAUCCAAUAUAUACUCCACCAUUUCAAAGUUUUGAUCUUUUGGUCGACACAAAUUGGAAUCUUAUUGAUACAUUCAAGUUCAGAGAGAAUGCAAAGCAAGGCUCUACGUACGUGUCUUCGGCAAGGUUUUCCAAUCCCGAAUUCCGACUCUGUUGGUCUCAAUGUUUGCUACCUUCGCCUCAAUCUACGUCACCGGACGGUUGAUUCUUUUUGGUCUCUCAAUUUUCAGAUUUUGAUUAACCCCCAAAUUGGAAAACUGGGUUUUGAAUUUUGGGGUUGGAUGCAGGUUGUGGCAGGAUUCGGAGAACAAGGUUUAUUUGAUUAAAGAGCUUGAUAGGAUUACCGGGCAGAGGGGAUCUGUCAUAUCAAUGGAUGAUACAUUUAAAUCAUAGCUUGCAGGUAAGAUGCUAGUCAUUUGUUCUCUAGUGUAAUUCAAGAUUCGUAAUUUGAGUUGUGUGAUUCCAUAGUUUAGGUACAAAUCUAUGGUUCUUACCCGGAAAAGUAUCUUUGUUAGGGAACAACAUAAGAAGUUAUCAGUAGUUAAGAUGGAGUUCGCUGCAGCCAAUCAAGAGGGUUAGAACGUUCAACGCUGAAAAAUGGAACCAGGCCACUGGUGGUGACUGGAAUUUUUACAAAAUUUGGUUGUAAGAACAAUAGAGAUGCAAUUUGUAAGGCGUGGAUGGGAACUGGGUAUCCGAGUCUUUGACCCGACUAUUCCCUAGGUCCCCCGCCUGACCCCACAACAUUUGGGGAACUGGAAACUCUAGCAAUUGCUAGGUGGGUACCUUGGGAGAGGAUCGAACCCCAGACCACUUGGGAGCAAACCAAGGGCCUGACCGCUAGACCAACAACUCUUUGGUGUCUCUGAAUUUUUCAUAUUGGCUUCUUGUAAUUGAAGUUCAUUCCAUGUUAUUGUUAUUUUAUUUGUGUAAUGUACACAAUGCUGAUACAAGAAUCCACCCUCUGUGCCUCUAGCUGUUAUCGGUAAACCCCCAGUUAACUUCUUUGAUUGGUUCUAUUGUAUUUAUCUUGAACAUGUAUUACAAUGCAGGUAUUGGUACCCUUUUGGCAAACUGUGAUGAUCUCAAAAUAUUUCAAGACUCUGGUAUUGCUUCAGUUGCCAAGCAACUAGAUCAAGGUAUUAAAUUAGUUCUUUUAUUCCAUCUUCCAUGAAAAAAUUCAUAUUUCUAUUUUAAAGUUUUGAAUUAAUAUGCUUUAUGAUUGACGAAGGAGGCCAUAAUAAUUAUUCAUAUUCCAUCUUCAUAAUCAUUAUUCAUUAGGUGUCAAGGGUUGAGCUACUGGAUGUACUUCAAGUGAGGGCUAUCAAUAUUGCUAAUGGGAAGCAUUUGCCAGAAACACCAACUUUGAUGUUUGAGUUUAUAGGCACAGAUAAGGAAGGAAGCACUCUGGGCAUGCUUUGCAAUGGAACCUGAUUUUGAGGCAAUGAUUAUGGUUAGUUCAUAUCACUGGAUCUUGAUUAUUAUUCUGGAAUAUAUUUCCAUUUAUUAGUAGAAAAAUAAUAUGGUCAGUAGAAUGGAAGGAUCUCUAAACAUCUGCUUUCCUUCAGACAGCCUGGUGGUGCAGACAACCUGGUGGAUCCCUUAAGAAAAUAACUCAAUUCAUCAUUUGAGUGACUAAAGAGUUUAAACUGUUUUUUAUAUUAACUGAUUCUCUUCAAUUAAUAUAAUGCAUCAUUGUAAAUCCAAUGAAUGGUUUAGGGUUCUUAAAGUUACACUUUCAUGUGGUUGCUUCCUCAAGACCCUGGUAUUGCUUCAGUUGCCAAGCAACUAGAUCAAGGUAUUAAUAGCUCAUGUUUAUUGAACUGAGAAUCAAUACUAAAAUUUCAAAGGUUGCUUUCAGUUCUUAUUUCUUAAUAGCUCAUGUUUAUUGAAUAUUGUGAGUUCUGACUAAGGGUGCCUAUUGUGUAUUGUAGACUUUAGCUUGUUAUCUGUCUAUUUAGUGAACCAGAAUUACUUCAAAGUUAGAGAGAAGGGGUUAGAAUGGCAUUGUGAGAAGUAUAACAGACCAUUGUGGACAAUCACUGCGUUAGAAUGGCAUUAUGUGGUAAGUCACUUUGUCAUUAUAGCUUCUUAAUUAAAGUUAUUGUUCCUCAUUUGAUUUCUCUUUAGUCGGUUAACCAAUGGUACUGGUUUGUACAGUGUUCAAGAAAUUAGCGUGUUAUCAACCAGUGUGCUGAGUUUCAUGUCAACAAUCAAAAGAAAGCCAAAAACCAUUGUUUGUGGGUUAAUUCUAGCAGAAUUUGUAUAAUUAAUAUAUAGGGAAAAAACAUUGAGAUAUGAAGUGCUCUUGUAAUUUUAGGAAUGUCACAUUGUAUUUUGGUUACUUUUGAGAUCAUUAAUGAAAAUGAUGUAUUUUUGAUGUGAAGACUUGUUAAGUUGUUAUUGUGUUUCCAAGGUGCUGUGACAA